rnacentral:rRNA from 1 species
AUGGGCGCAAGCCUGAUGCAGCCAUGCCGCGUGUAUGAAGAAGGCCUUCGGGUUGUAAAGUACUUUCAGCAGUGAGGAAGGGUGUGACGUUAAUAGCUUCUUCUCUUGACGUUAGCUGCAGAAGAAGCACCGGCUAACUCCGUGCCCGCAGCCGCGGUAAUACGGAGGGUGCGAGCGUUAAUCGGAAUUACUGGGCGUAAAGCGCAUGCAGGUGGUUUGUUAAGUCAGAUGUGAAAGCCCGGGGCUCAACCUCGGAACCGCAUUUGAAACUGGCGAGCUAGAGUACUGUAGAGGGGGGUAGAAUUUCAGGUGUAGCGGUGAAAUGCGUAGAGAUCUGAAGGAAUACCAGUGGCGAAAGCGGCCCCCUGGACAGACACUG